rnacentral:lncRNA from 1 species
ACGGUCAAUAAAUUGAAACAUUUAGUGGGCCCAAAAGCUUUAUACAACAUGUGGAAUAUAAGGCCGAAGAAAAAAAUAAAUUCUUGCAAACUCCCAUUAUAUGAAUUAGCAAUCCAAACGAAACCUAUAAAACUCUUGGAUCUAAAAAAGUUCAAUAAGUUGAUAAGGGCCACAAAAUAAGAAUAAUUAGCUUAUAGGGAAAAGAUGGGCCUAGGGGAAGUAAUUUCAAGCCCAAUUUCACAUUAUUCGAAAACCCAAUCAAGAGUAUUCUUCAAAAAUGUUGACUCACCAACAACAAAGGUAUAUAUUAACAUGUAGGAGCUGCCCCCAGGGCAUAUCUCCCAGUGGCAAAGGGGAGGGCGGAUAGGGUUCAGCGCGGCAGUGUGCAGAGUUCGAUUCCCCGCAAGGUGGAAUUGGCUUUGUUGCAAGCGGGAGUUACCAUAUGGGUUAACAGCCUUGGCCUAUCCAUGUGCUCUCCACCCUGGCUCCUGGGAGGCACAUCCUGCGAUUUACCUCCUCCACGAUGGCCCAGGGCAGGGUCGGUGGGGGCCCCUAAGGUUGGGGUUCAACCUUUUAACAUGUAGGAGCCAACUUCAUUGACCAGCAAAAAGGGUUGAAAUAGACAGCUUUUCUUGGUUUAAAAUGCACGCCAUCUUCACGUGUUGUCUCCAUCAACAUUGAAUGUUGACACAGU